rnacentral:rRNA from 1 species
GUUUUCUAGAAGGCAGUAGGGGCAGAUGGAAUUCCCGGCGUAGGAGUAAUAUCCGUUGAUAUCGGGAGGAACACCAAUAGCGAAGGCAAUCUGCUGGGCUGACCUUGACCCUCACUGACGAAAGCGUGGGGAGCAAACGGGAUUAGAUACCCCGGUAGUCCACGCCGUAAACGAUGGACACUAGGCGUAUGUGGCAUCGACCCCAUAUGUGCCGAAGCUAACGCAUUAAGUGUCCCGCCUGGGGAGUACGGCCGCAAGGCUAAAACUCAAAGGAAUUGACGGGGAUCCACACAAGCGGUGGAGCAUGUGGUUUAAUUCGUAGUUAAGCGAAGAACCUUACCAAGGCUUGACAUCCUCGGAACUUUGCAGAAAUGUGAAGGUGCCCGCAAGGGAACUGAGUGACAGAUGUUGCAUGGUCGUCGUCAGCUCGUGCCGUGAGGUGUACGGUUAAGUCCGAUAACGAGCGCAACCCUCGCUAUUAGUUGUAUUUCUCUAAUGGGACUGCCCUGGACAACAGGGAGGAAGGUGGGGAUGACGUCAGAUCAGCAUGGCUUUUACGCCUUGGGCUACACACGUGCUACAAUGGGAUGUACAAUGGGAAGCAAUGGAGUAAUCCGGAGCAAAUCCUUAAAGCAUCUCCAAGUUCGGAUUGAAGGCUGAAAUUCGCCUUCAUGAAGCUGGAAUCGCUAGUAACCGCCAAUCAGCAAUGUGGCGGUGAAUAUGUUCCUGGAUC